rnacentral:rRNA from 1 species
GCUGGCGGCGUGCUUAACACAUGCAAGUCGCACGAGAACGCUUCAGCUUGCUGAGGCUAGUAAAGUGGCGCACGGGUGAGUAACGCGUGGGUAAUCUACCUCCAAAUUGGGGAUAACAUUGCGAAAGCGAUGCUAAUACCGAAUAAUAUCUCAAAAGUUUCGGCUUUUGAGAUCAAAGGUGGCCUCUCCAUGGAAGCUACUGUUAGGAGAUGAGCCCGCGUACCAUUAGCUUGUUGGUAGGGUAAUGGCCUACCAAGGCAACGAUGGUUAGCUGGUCUGAGAGGAUGAUCAGCCACACUGGAACUGACACACGGUCCAGACUCCUACGGGAGGCAGCAGUGAGGAAUUUUGCGCAAUGGGGGAAACCCUGACGCAGCAACGCCGCGUGAGUGAUGAAGGCUCUUGGGUCGUAAGGCUCUGUCAGAGGGGAAGAACCUCCUAACGUAUAAUACACGUUAGGCCUGACGGUACCCUCAGAGGAAGCACCGGCUAACUCCGUGCCAGCAGCCGCGGUAAUACGGAGGGUGCAAACGUUGUUCGGAAUUAUUGGGCGUAAAGAGCAUGUAGGCGGUCUGUCAAGUCUGAUGUGAAAGCCCCGGGCUCAACCCCGGAAGUGCAUUGGAAACUGGCAGACUUGAGUACCGGAGAAGAAAGUGGAAUUUCGAGUGUAGGGGUGAAAUCCGUAGAUAUUCGAAAGAACACCA